rnacentral:lncRNA from 1 species
AGGGAAGCAGCGGCCGCCAUUUCAGGGAGCUUGUCGACGCUGUCGCAGGGGUGGAUCCUGAGCUGCCGAAGCCGCCGUCCUGCUCUCCCGCGUGGGCUUCUCUAAUUCCAUUGUUUUUUUUAGAUUCUCUCGGGCCUAGCCGUCCUUGGAACCCGAUAUUCGGGCUGGGCGGUUCCGCGGCCUGGGCCUAGGGGCUUAACAGUAGCAACAGAAGCGGCGGCGGCGGCAGCAGCAGCAGCAGCAGCAGCAAUCUCUUCCCGAACACGAGCACCACAGGCGCCCGAAGGCCGGAACAGGCGUUUAGAGAAAAUGGCAGACGAUAUUGAUAUUGAAGCAAUGCUUGAGGCUCCUUACAAGAAGGUGAGAAAAAACAUGUCGGUGAGGUUUAUAUAUUUCUUAAUUUAGCAUUAUUCACGAAACUACUGCUGAAAUGUAAACUAACCUCCCCGGAGCCCUCUUGAUUUAUCUUAUCAGAGAUGCAUUACGUGUAACUUACAAAAGUAAAUAUAUGCUAUUGAUGUAAUAAUAUUGUGCAGUAGUUUCACUUCAGCGUGAUGAAUAAAUGCCCAUCUAUCUCUCUUUGUAGACUUGCCUAACGAUAUCUCACCUCUACUCCCAUGAAUUCACCUUUGAUUCCAGUGUGAACUGUCAAUCAUAAGGUAGUAAUUGAGUGACUUAUCGCUGUACCGUGGUCCCCUAGGUAAAAUGACUCAACUAAGAAUUACCACCUCCAGUUUGGUAUAGCAAAAAGGUGAAUGUAGUGGUUUGGGAAAAAGCAGGGGUCCAAGAAUAACAAAGCAUGACCAGUCUGUGGCAAGUUAAAUCUUCUAACAGUCUUAUAAGAAGAAAUGGGUGAGAUUUUAAAAUUUAUGUAUCUAUGUAAGACUGGUGAUAGUAAAUCUUAAAACAGUCCAGUGGCAAUCUGCUGCUCAGUUAAUAAUUACUAAAAUUCUUGGAUCCCUGAAUAGAAAUUAAAAAAAAAAAAUACAAGAGGCAGUAGAGUCAAUACAAGCUUAAUACAAGCUUAGAGUAAAUACAAGCUUAGAGUCACUUGAUGACUGUUUUACUGUUCUCCAUAUUGUUUUUAUUUUUAAUUAGGCCCUACCAUAGUAUUUCACACUAAAAACAAAGGAAUUAUAUUGGCUAAUAUAGUCUUUGACUCAUUUCGGUAUCUCAGUAAAAGUAAACUGUCUUUUCAUUGUUUCACCAGUUGGUGGUGAAAAUAGCAGUAUGCAUGCAUUAUCACUGGUGUCACAAACUGUAAGCUUUGUAAGUUAGCACUUUACUCCUAUAGCUGAUGUAAUCAAACUUUAAAAUAAACAUUUCACUAAACCUUUUAAAAAUAAUACAUUUGUUUUGGAUUGUAUAGCACGACCAUGUGGUACCAAUUUGGAUGAAUUCUUGAUAGAUUUAAAUAGUGUAUGUAAUUUUGUAAUGCUUAGACUCUUGAAGAGCUACUUUCUGUUUUAAUGUUAAGAUUCUUGUGUCUUAGUUUUUUUUAACAUGGAUGUAAUUCCAUGUAAACAGGUAUGGAAGUAGGAAAUGUUUAGGCUGGACUUGGUGGAUUAUUAAUUGACUUUCUUGGGUUCUUGGGAGUCAACAUUACUAAAGCAGUGUGAAUCCCUGUUUGCUUCAGGGCGAGAUGUGUGACAGAGGUGGCAUCAAGCUCUUACAGUCCCAACCCUCCAACGGAAAUGGGCGAAGAUCUCAGGAAUGGCAUCGGUCACAGGAAAUCGAUAGUGGCUGGCUGCUAGCAUGGCCACUUGGGGCUUAGGCAGAAAUAGAGCCAUGGUACUGACCAAAGGGACCAUAGCACAUGGAAUAAAACUCAAAACAGGACUUCAUGUUUUAUGGAAAUUAUAUUUAACCACUUCAACAUUGUAAAUCUGGAUAACUUUUAAUAUCUAAACUAUAUAAGAAAGUAAAAUUUAACAUGUUAAUAUGGAAAAUUUUUUUAUUUUUGUAUCUUGAUGACUUAAAUGUAAGCAACAAAGUGGUUAAACACAUACCCAUCUAAAUUUUUUUAUAGCCUUCCAUGUUAAACUAUAAGUAAAUAAUUAGUUUUAAAAUUGUUUUGUAUUUUCUUAUUCCUGUUCCCUUUACCCUUUGACAACUUGAAAUGUUACCACUUCGUCCUCAUGAUGUUCUUCUAUCAACCCUGCUUAGGAUGAGAACAAGUUGAGCAGUGCCAACGGCCAUGAAGAACGUAGCAAAAAGAGGAAAAAAAGCAAGAGCAGAAGUCGUAGUCAUGAACGAAAGAGAAGCAAAAGUAAGGAACGGAAGCGAAGUAGAGACAGAGAAAGGAAAAAGAGCAAAAGCCGUGAAAGAAAGCGAAGUAGAAGCAAAGAGAGGCGACGGAGCCGCUCAAGAAGUCGAGAUCGAAGAUUUAGAGGCCGCUACAGAAGUCCUUACUCCGGACCAAAAUUUAACAGUGCCAUCCGAGGAAAGAUUGGGUUGCCUCAUAGCAUCAAAUUAAGCAGACGACGUUCCCGAAGCAAAAGUCCAUUCAGAAAAGACAAGAGCCCUGUGAGAGAACCUAUUGAUAAUUUAACUCCUGAGGAAAGAGAUGCAAGGACAGUCUUCUGUAUGCAGCUGGCGGCAAGAAUUCGACCAAGGGAUUUGGAAGAGUUUUUCUCUACAGUAGGAAAGGUUCGAGAUGUGAGGAUGAUUUCUGACAGAAAUUCAAGACGUUCCAAAGGAAUUGCUUAUGUGGAGUUCGUCGAUGUUAGCUCAGUGCCUCUAGCAAUAGGAUUAACUGGCCAACGAGUUUUAGGCGUGCCAAUCAUAGUACAGGCAUCACAGGCAGAAAAAAACAGAGCUGCAGCAAUGGCAAACAAUUUACAAAAGGGAAGUGCUGGACCUAUGAGGCUUUAUGUGGGCUCAUUACACUUCAACAUAACUGAAGAUAUGCUUCGUGGGAUCUUUGAGCCUUUUGGAAGAAUUGAAAGUAUCCAGCUGAUGAUGGACAGUGAAACUGGUCGAUCCAAGGGAUAUGGAUUUAUUACAUUUUCUGACUCAGAAUGUGCCAAAAAGGCUUUGGAACAACUUAAUGGAUUUGAACUAGCAGGAAGACCAAUGAAAGUUGGUCAUGUUACUGAACGUACUGAUGCUUCGAGUGCUAGUUCAUUUUUGGACAGUGAUGAACUGGAAAGGACUGGAAUUGAUUUGGGAACAACUGGUCGUCUUCAGUUAAUGGCAAGACUUGCAGAGGGUACAGGUUUGCAGAUUCCGCCAGCAGCACAGCAAGCUCUACAGAUGAGUGGCUCUUUGGCAUUUGGUGCUGUGGCAGAAUUCUCUUUUGUUAUAGAUUUGCAAACAAGACUUUCCCAGCAGACUGAAGCUUCAGCUUUAGCUGCAGCUGCCUCUGUUCAGCCACUUGCAACACAAUGUUUCCAACUCUCUAACAUGUUUAACCCUCAAACAGAAGAAGAAGUUGGAUGGGAUACCGAGAUUAAGGAUGAUGUGAUUGAAGAAUGUAAUAAACAUGGAGGAGUUAUUCAUAUUUAUGUUGACAAAAAUUCAGCUCAGGGCAAUGUGUAUGUGAAGUGCCCAUCAAUUGCUGCAGCUAUUGCUGCUGUCAAUGCAUUGCAUGGCAGGUGGUUUGCUGGUAAAAUGAUAACAGCAGCAUAUGUACCUCUUCCAACUUACCACAACCUGUUUCCUGAUUCUAUGACAGCAACACAGCUACUGGUUCCAAGUAGACGAUGAAGGAAGAUAUAGUCCCUUAUGUAUAUAGCUUUUUUUCUUUCUUGAGAAUUCAUCUUGAGUUAUCUUUUAUUUAGAUAAAAAUAAAGAGGCAAGGAUCUACUGUCAUUUGUAUGCAAUUUCCUGUUACCUUGAAAAAAUAAAAAUGUUAACAGGAAUGCAGUGUGCUCAUUCUCCCUAAAUAGUAAAUCCCACUGUAUACAAAACUGUUCUCUUGUUCUGCCUUUUAAAAUGUUCAUGUAGAAAAUUAAUGAACUAUAGGAAUAGCUCUAGGAGAACAAAUGUGCUUUCUGUAAAAAGGCAGACCAGGGAUGUAAUGUUUUUAAUGUUUCAGAAGCCUAACUUUUUACACAGUGGUUACAUUUCACAUUUCACUAAUGUUGAUAUUUGGCUGAUGGUUGAGCAGUUUCUGAAAUACACAUUUAGUGUAUGGAAAUACAAGACAGCUAAAGGGCUGUUUGGUUAGCAUCUCAUCUUGCAUUCUGAUCAAUUGGCAAGAAAGGGAGAUUUCAAAAUUAUAUUUCUUGAUGGUAUCUUUUCAAUUAAUGUAUCUGUAAAAGUUUCUUUGUAAAUACUAUGUGUUCUGGUGUGUCUUAAAAUUCCAAACAAAAUGAUCCCUGCAUUUCCUGAAGAUGUUUAAACGUGAGAGUCUGGUAGGCAAAGCAGUCUGAGAAAGAAAUAGGAAAUGCAGAAAUAGGUUUUGUCUGGUUGCAUAUAAUCUUUGCUCUUUUUAAGCUCUGUGAGCUCUGAAAUAUAUUUUUGGGUUACUUCAGUGUGUUUGACAAGACAGCUUGAUAUUUCUAUCAAACAAAUGACUUUCAUAUUGCAACAAUCUUUGUAAGAACCACUCAAAUAAAAGUCUCUUAAAAAGGCCA